rnacentral:rRNA from 1 species
UACGUAGGGUGCAAGCAUUAAUCGGAUUUAUUGGGCGUAAAGGGCGCGUAGGCGGACAGUUUAGUCAGAGGUGAAAGCCCAGGGCUCAACCUUGGAAUUGCCUUUGAUACUGGCUGUCUUGAGUUCGGGAGAGGUGAGUGGAAUUCCUGGUGUAGCGGUGAAAUGCGCAGAUAUCAGGAAGAACACCCGUGGCUAAGGCGGCUCUCUAGUACGGUACUGACGCUGAGGUGCGAAAGCGUGGGGAGCAAACAGG